rnacentral:rRNA from 1 species
GACGAACGCUGGCGGCGCGCCUAACACAUGCAAGUCGAACGAGCGAGAGAGAGCUUGCUUUCUCGAGCGAGUGGCGAACGGGUGAGUAACGCGUGAGGAACCUGCCUCAAAGAGGGGGACAACAGUUGGAAACGACUGCUAAUACCGCAUAAGCCCACGGUGCCGCAUGGCACAGAGGGAAAAGGAGCAAUCCGCUUUGAGAUGGCCUCGCGUCCGAUUAGCUAGUUGGUGAGGUAACGGCCCACCAAGGCGACGAUCGGUAGCCGGACUGAGAGGUUGAACGGCCACAUUGGGACUGAGACACGGCCCAGACUCCUACGGGAGGCAGCAGUGGGGAAUAUUGUACAAUGGGGGAAACCCUGAUGCAGCGACGCCGCGUGGAGGAAGAAGGUCUUCGGAUUGUAAAACUCCUGUUGUUGGGGAAGAUAAUGACGGUACCCAACAGGAAGUGACGGCUAACUACGUG